rnacentral:misc_RNA from 1 species
GCUGCGGUGGACCGGCACCGCUGCGCAAAUCGGGUCGACGCUGGCGACACGGACGGGAUCUCAUGGCUGCUGCUGCAGCGCGCAGCUUGCUGCGCAGGUUGGCGAUGGAGUUCGCUGCGCGACGAGGGAGUGAGGUAGUGGCAGGGACGUCCGACAGCAAAGCAAGGGAGGAGCUCGCUGCCGGGGCUGCUCGCCAUGGUUGCCGAGCUAGCAGCAGGGGGAACCUUCGGCCAGGGAGGAAAAAAAAUGGGGCGAGCUCUGCUGGAAUUUCUGGGCGCCGUCCAAGGAAGCUGCUGCCGCUGCUUUGCGUAGUAGCUCGG